UAAUAGCACCUGGGAGACCAGGUGUGGUUCCAGCUCUCAGAGCAAUGUGCCCAGCAAAGCAGCUGCAUCAGUCAUUAAGCUGUCCUGAAGAUCUGUUACCCAGGAACUGGAUGCCAGGUCCAUAACCAUCUUAAGAUCAUGAAAUGCAACCAGGACUUCUUUCUUCUCCAUUGAUGUUUUCCAAGCCUAUAGCAGGAAUUACUUUUUUUCCUCUGAAAAAAUUGAAGUCUUCCUCACUACUGCAGCCACACUAGAAA